rnacentral:rRNA from 1 species
UACAGAGGUGGCAAGCGUUGUUCGGAAUUACUGGGCGUAAAGGGCGCGUAGGCGUCCAUCUAAGUCAGACGUGAAAUCCCCAGGCUCAACCUGGGAACUGCGUCUGAUACUGGAUGGCUUGAAUUCGGGAGAGGGAUGCAGAAUUCCAGGUGUAGCGGUGAAAUGCGUAGAUAUCUGGAGGAAUACCGGUGGCGAAGGCGGCAUCCUGGACCGACACUGACGCUGAGGAGCGAAAGCCAGGGGAGCAAACGGG